ACCCAUACGAUCAUCGAAGUUAAGCAAACUCGAGGCUGGUCAGUACCUAGAUGAGUGAGCGUGUGGGAAUACCAGGUGCGGCU